rnacentral:rRNA from 1 species
UCGCCUGUUUAUCAAAAACAUGGUUUCUUGGUUAUUUAGGAGAUUUGACCUGCCCACUGAAAAAUGUAUUGAAGGGCCGCAGUAUUUUGACUGUGCGAAGGUAGCGUAAUCAUUAGUCUUUUAAUUGAAGGCUUGUAUGAAUGGUUGGACGAGGCAGUUUCUGUUUUAUUUAAAUUUAUUGAAUUUAAGUGUUAAGUAAAAAAUCUUAAAUAUUAUUAAGGGACGAGAAGACCCUAUAGAGUUUAAUGAUAUUUUGUUUUAUUUAUGUUAUAUAUUUUGGAAUUUUUUAUUAUAAAAUUAUUAUUUAGUUGGGGUGAUUGGAAAAUAAAUAUAACUUUUCUUUUUUGUUAAUUAUGAUGAUUAGUUAAUAGAUCCAUUGCUAGUGAUUUUAAGAUUAAAUU